ensembl:lncRNA
UGUGCGCUCCUCCAUUGGGGGGUAUGGUAUGGGUUGUGUUUAUGAUCUUUGAACUCUACAGAGCAAAAGUGAAAAUGAAUCUCAGCAGUGCCAUUUUGUAAGGAGGGGAAAAGAAGGGGGAGCUGGCUGGUGGUAAGGAAAUGGCUAUACUUGGACUCAGGGCUAUGAUGCAUUUCCAUUUGGAAAUUGUGUAGUUCUGGUAGCACUGUUUACAUUCAAUGAUGGUGGCUAAAAGAUCAGACUCACCAAAACGCAGCUGUUUGUACAUUAAGAGUGACCAGUCAAUGGAAUCCCCAAUUAAGUUCACAGAUGUAGACUGUACUACUGAUAAGAGACUACUGUCUAUUUCUAAAAAGGAGCUGGAACACGAAGAU